rnacentral:lncRNA from 1 species
CUCUAUCGCUGAGCCGCAAGCCCAGCCCCUCCCCAGCCCCCAGCCCCCCCACCGUUUUUAAUAUUUUAUAUGGAGACAAGUUCUCACUGAGUUGCUUAGGGCUUCACUAGGUUUCUGAGCCUGAUGAACUCGCCAUCCUGCCUCAGGAUCCCAAGCCACUGGAAUUACAGGUGGAUGCCACCUGACCUGUCUCUGAAGUUGUCUUUAUAGGAAAGAGCUGGGGGAGAAGUAACUAUGCAAGAACAGGGUGACUUGUGAGAAAGUUGAGCUAGGAGCUAGCACAGAACUGGGGGGAGGAGGGCGGAACUGGGGGCAGAUGUGGCUGAGGAGAUGCUGAUUACAGCGAAUAGGCAGAGCUGUGGCUAAGAAUUGGGGAAGUUGCUGAAUGCUCAAGCACUCUGUAAGGAGCUGGUGCAGAGAUGCAGGCAGAUCUUUGGAGAAAGCUGGGGAAAGACCUAGUGCUGCACCAGGGAGGGGGGACCUAUGGUCAAGUUGGGGGAGGAGCCCACAGAGCUGUGGGAGGAGCUGCCAGAUGCACAGGGCAGAAGUGAGGAGGAAGCUUAGGGUUUCUGUGCUGCACUCUUAGUCAAGAGGGGAAAAUGGCCAAACCAGGGUCCUCAUGGACCUAACCGAACCCUGAGUGUGUACUUUAGGGUGCACUCCAGAGGAGUAGCAGCUGGGAGUUCAGGGCUGAGGCUUGCACCACAGGGAUGAACCCCCCACAGCUUUCCUUUCCCCUAGAUGCAUUUUGGUUCCUGCCAGUGAGGCUGGGAAUAACCGUCUUUUGUUUUGAAGGGAGCUGAAUAGCACCACCCUAUGUGCUGCUGCCCCUCAGACCUAAGUUGCCAAAACCACCUCCCAACUUCCGUGCCAACCUGGCUUUUCGUCUUUCACACCACAACCUUCCCUCAGGAUCACCAUGCUUCCUUACACUGUCCUGCCUAGUGACUGGAGAGCCAAGUUCUAGGUCCCUGCCUCUACCUUACAUGUAAGAAGACAGAUUCCUCUUCCUUUGUUCCCUUUGCUACUUGCUGAGGUCAGGCCACAUUCUCUGGUGUCUGUGCUAUCCCCUGAUUUUCCUGACUGGCCUAGAGUCCUGUGUUGCGUCUUUUCUGUUGGUCCUCCAUCAUACAGUACCCCUCACUCUCUACCUUGCAAAUCAGUCCCCUACUGAAAACCUGCCAAGCCUUCUCCUGUAGGGGUGCAGGCGCCUCAAGUUUCAGCCCGAGCUCUCUCCCCCCUUCUGGACUAACACUGGCCAGAGUCAAAGUGUGCUUUGGGGUACCUGGUCCCUGACCCAACCUGUUCCACAGGACUCCUUGCUUUGAAGCUAUGGUUCGUACAGAAUUGAAUGCCCAUCCCCUCUUAUCCUGACAACCUAUCCUCCAAGCACAACUUUCAAUUCACCUUCACUGUUGCACAAUCAAGUGUCCUAUUUCUGGUAGCCUUCCUUCUGGUAGACCCAUGCUCCAAGCAUUGGGUCCUUGUAACCCAGAGCUGCAACUGCUCUCCCGGAGUCUGUGGCCACAGCAGGAUCUCUAAGUUCCUGGAAGGCAAGGCUGCUUUUACUCCUUUCUGUAAUCUGGGUGCCGGGCAUAGUAGCUGCUUAGUAAACAUCAGAUGGACCAGAGGAGUGCUCUCUCCCAGUGAGAGGUACUUGUACUUUUCCUGGAGAAGCUCAAGAAAACAGGAAAGCUGGAGGUAAAGUGAGUGGGAGAGGGUACCUUGUUCACAUGAGGGAGGCCUUAGGGCUCAAGGAGCCUUAAAGUUCAUAUGGGACUCCCACCUAGGUUGGUGUCCCCUCCAGGCCUCUUUCCUCCACAAAUCGUUCCAGCCCCUGCCCAGCACCACGGCAUCUCCUCAGAGCUGUUUGGAAUGUAAGUGAGGGUCCCAUCAAUGUGUGCCGUUCCUGUUCUUAGGCCCUGUUGUUUGAUGAGCUGGAACUUGCCUAAGGAGCUGGAUUCUCAUAGCACAUGGCUGCUAGUGGGGGCCUCCAUGGGGACAUAAUGUAAGCGCUCCUGCUUCUGACUCCUGGGCUGUUCCUUGCUCUCGUGUAUGCUGAGAAGUGGGGUGCAGUUCACAGAUGAAUGCACCAUCUCCCUGGGCAUAAGAGUGCCCAGCAGAGGCCUGAUCUGCUGUCUGAUCAGGAGGUGAAGUCCCGGGGUAGCAGCUGCAAGUCCAGCUCUCUGCUGCAGCAGUGGGUGGGGCCUUGGAAGCAUCGCCUCAGUAGGUUUUGCGUGGGGAGGUCUUUGGCUGCCACAGGGAAAAGGACAAGGAUGCUUUUGCAUCUUGAUUUUCAUUACACAUAACAAGUCAGUGGCAGCCCUGAAAAUGGGCUGAUGUCUGACCUCCUGAUCACAUUCUCUUCACUAGCUGCUCCCUGUCUCCCCUCAUGGACCAAAUCCUGGUGGGGACUCACUCCCACCUUCUCUGGCCAUCACGGGUCAGGUGUGCCCUCCCCUCCCCAGACCCAUCUCACUUCUUCCUUCCACUGUGUUUUCCUUGCAGGGGCUCCAGAGCCUCCAGGCCAGCAGUAGCCUGCAGAUAUGUGGAACCCUUUGGGGUUCCUUCCUCUGCUCCUUCUCAGGCACCUUCUCCUUGUCUACUCCCCACUAACACUGAGCUUUGCUCAACUCCUGGGAUCAGGAUUGAGUCUCCUCCACCAGCUCUGCUUUCUUCUCCAGACCAAGCCUUCAGCACAGGAGCCUUUGAGGGCUAUUCCAGAUUCAAAGUAAAACAGACGCAGAUAGUAGAAGAGCCAAGUAUGACCUUUGUGUGUUUCUGUGAAUUUAUGGUGCCAAAACAUUAUUAGCAGCUUUUAAUUUAAUCAGACUAUACUUUUUUUUUUUUUUUUUAGUGUACUGGAUAUUUAACCCAGGGAUGCUCUACCAGUGACCUUCAUCCCCAGCCUUUUUUAUUUGUCAUUUUGAGACAAGGUCUCCCUAACGCUGGCCUUGGACUUGUGAUCAUCCUGCCUCAGCCUUGCAAGUAGCUUGGAUUACAGACAUGUAGCACCUUGCCUGGUCCUGACACACUUUAUUCUUUACUCUCCUAAUAGUUCAGUCUUUAUGCAAACAAGCACUGAGUCAUGUGCUGUGCCCUCCAAAGCUGGGGACGGUUGGAAUGUCAUGCCAUGGCCCUGUGACAAAUCCAGAUUAUUUGUUUACAUGAUUGGGGGGUGAUGCCAGAGGACAAGUUGUCAACUCCUCUCCAUGGUUACCAGGCUGGAAUUGUGGGAUCAGUGGGCUCUCUACAGAAGACCCAUUCUGCUGACAUGUGCCUCCACACUCAAUGUGGCAACUUUAGAAAGUACAGAAACGUCUAUGAGAAUCAGAAACAAAGAACGGUCCUGAGGUCAUUUCUGAGAGGCAGGAACAUUUAUUUUUCUUGCUUUUUCUUCUAUACAGUGUUUGGUUAUUCAGUUGAGCACAUGCUGUGUUGCAUUUUUCCUCCUACUUUUUUUUUUUUUUUAUUAUGGUAAGUGUUAGCCCAUAUUCUGAAAGGUUACUCAGGAAAUUGGCCCGAUAUGGCAGUAGCUCUGUAGCCCAUUGUGAAUUCCACCCCUCCAUGUUCAAGACCUCACAGCAGUCAAAUCCUCAGGGAAUGGAUCAUCCCACUUUGGAUCCAGCAACAUCCUCUGUUUAGAUAGGUAAGCACAGCAGUUCUUCCUGAGGCCACCUUUCCCAUGGAGCUUAUUGAGACUCCAGAUAUGAGUGUCCCAUGGGACACUGUGUGCAAGAGCCUUCUCUGGUUAUUCCCAUUUCCCUGCUGUUCAGUGACCCAGCACAUAGCCAUUGUUGCCUUCAGGCAGGGCUGGGGGAACAUCAUAGCAUCUACUUGCCAUGGUACCGCAGCUUCCUUCCUGGGGACCUGGCCACCAUGUUAUUCAAUGUGUUCCAGUUCUGGAAGCUGGACUGGGGCAGGAACUGAGCAGGCAAGGUGAGUGGUUUGUUGGCAUGGCUGCCCUCAGCCUCCUGCUCACUCAUCCUUGCUGCCUUUGAGUGUCCACCUUGAGCUGUACCAUGUUGGUUGUGAUUUUGCUGUGCUCUAAGGGAGGCUGGCUUGUGCUGGUGGUCUCCAUUGCUCUCAACUGUCGAGGAUGUGUAGUCCUCAGCUCAGCUUCUGUGUGCUCAGUGUUGUUCAGUGCUGCCCCAACCUCUAUUCCCGCUGCUGCUGCUGCGGCUAAGAAAGAGGAGGAGGAGAGGGUGGCAGGCUAUUGGGCUUUUCCCUGGGAGCCUUGUUCUAUACCAGGCUCCCUUGGGGUUGGCCUGUAGAGGAGCAACUGCCAAGCUUCUGAGUGAUGAUAGGGUCCUUUCUUCAGCACAUCCCUGAACCUCUUGGUACAGGAUGUGUCUUCUGAGCCCUCUGGGCACAUACUCUCCUGGGAAGUCUUCUGGCUUCACCUGAUCUGUCCAGUUCCAGCAGACCCACUCUUUUCACCCUUGUCUCCCUUCUUUUAUUUACUGUCUGCCAUGGCCCUGCUAGCCUUUCAAGGCUGUUCUUCCUAGAACAGUGGUGUUUCCUGGUUUCUAGGAUCCAUCCCAGUAGUGAGUUUGCACCAUCCUAAGGGCCUUGCCAGGGCUUUAGGUUAUGUGUCUCAUUAGGGAAUACUUAUCUGAGUUUUCAGAACCCCUGGUCAGGCACCCUUACUGUCCUAUCCUCUAGGGACUCCGACUGGCCAUAGGUGCAGGUGUGUGCUGUUCCUUCAUCUAUAGGUGUCUUCUUUGUCUCCCUUACCAGGCCCAGCAGCCUUGUCCGUGUUGUGCUGUACUGUGCUAACUCUGCUCAGACAUCUGGCAGCAGGUUGGUCCCAUCCUGCUAUUCUGAGCCCUCUCCUGGUUGUAAUACUGCAGGCCCCACAGCCAGCUGGGAUGGUUGGACACCCUCCCUGCCAGGCAGAUACAGUGAGGACAGCUCCUAGGAAGGAGGUCUGCUGUGGGGAAAAAGAUUCCUAUAACUCCCUUGGGAGUGGCGUGAGGGGGGUGAGUCAUACUGUAGGCUCACGAGUUUCAGAGGCAUUUGGGGAGUCUGACAUUUGGGAUCUUCUGCUUGUCCCUGCUCCCCGUGUUUGACAGGAAGGUCUGUGCACAGUGCUUCUACCCUUGGCAAGACUGAGUUGCCUUGGUUGAACAUCCAGCCGUCUUUGGAGGCCGGCCUCCUUAUCAAAGUAUGUUUUUGAUAUUCAACUUCUGCAGUGCACUGUGCCUGACAUGGGAGCUACUUUAUGACCCUAGAGGAGAAGCUUGUGUUUCUGCUUAGUUUUUAGUCAUAGGUUAACUGCCCUCUGCCUUCCUUAAUCCACAGGGAGUCAUCCAACAAUGUAAUCGCAACUGAUCAUUUCCGUUGUCUUGGCAGUUGCCUUCCCAUGCGUUACACGUGCCCAGGUGUCCUCACCUGCUAGAAGCUUCCUCUGCACAAGGUAGCCAUCCCAGUAAAAUUCUGACACCAAAGGUCUGGCACCUGGGCUGCCCCCUUGUGCCUGGGUCUGUCUGCACACCCCCUACGUGCCUGUUGUGGGGUCUUCAUCACCAGCUAGGCAGAUACUGGGUGAUCCUGCACCAAGACCCUAGAUUACCACCUGCAGCAGUCCAGAACCAGCUGUGUCACAUUGGGUCCAGGAAGCAGAGCAUGCGAGGGAGCGAGCAGAGCCACCGAUUUAUUGGGACUAAUACCCACAGAAGGAAGUGGGGUUGGACAGCAGGUUGGGCCUGACUUGACAGUCCUGACCAGUGUGACAGGGUCGUGUGGAGCCAGGAUUUCCAGUUCAGGGGCCUGCAUGGGGCAUGGGUGUUCCUGUUGGGUCCUCCUGGUACCUGGCACACAGUAGGUCAUGCAGUCCAUACUAUUUAGAUGAAUGAGCACCCACAGUGGAUGCUCAGGAGGGCAGGUGUGGGUUGAGCAGCUCCAAGAAGGGCCCGGCUGCUAUCUUCACAUAGGCAGAAGCAUGCCCUGCCCUGUGCUGCAGCAGGCUUCCUGGGAGGUGCUUUGGUCUCUGUUGCAUUAGACAGCUACGUGGGUGCCCAUAGGGAUGUGUCUCCAGGGCAUUUGCUCACAGGGCAUCUCCGGAUCUGUUAGCAGGGGUGUGAGCACAGCUUGCUGUUACAGGGCAGUCUGCAUACAUGGCAUCAUGACACAAGGCAGAGUGAAGUCAGCAGUACUGUCCUAGCAGGGGCUCUCUGGAGGUAUAUACUCAUCUCUGUGCUAUCCCCAGGGCUGCUAGGGUCAUCUUUAAGGCUUACUUUUGUAUCCUGAAGUCUGAAGCUAGGCAGCAUUAGUUAGAUACUUGUUAAGAGGAAAGAAUGGCUACCUCUGGGUUAGGGGCUGAGGAGGUCUCCCAGAGGAGCCGGUAUUCCAGCCGAGUGUCAUCCUCUCUCUUACUCUCUCACUCUGUCUCUCUCUUUUUACCUCAGGUUCCUCUACCACUGAGGUCUAUCUCCAGACUUUUGCGUUAGGUUUUGAGACAGGGUGUCACUAAGUUGCCCUGGCCAGUCUCAAACUUGUGAUCCUACCUCAUUCUCUAAAGUACAUGGAAUUACAGCUGUGCCUGGCUUUAGAUACAUCUUGAGUUAAGAGGAUUUUGUUGAAUGGGACCUGGGGAGGGCAACCUGAGAGGGUUAGAUAGAGCCCAGGGACUUAAAGAGGGUUUUUGGCUGGAGCAGAACCAUUUGUAGAGUGAGGCUAUAUGAUAGGAGGCCAUGUAACUGGAUGGGGCCCAACUUAUAAGGUUGGGCAAAGGAGUGAACUGUACGCUGAUCACUGCAAUCAGUGCCUUCACUUGGGUUUCACUGUGAGCAAUUGUCCUGGCAAGUUGUCGGUUUUCUUCCUAGGAAAAUUAAUUGAUCAUCUCAUUUGGCCACUCAGCUGUCUGGCAAAAUGUUGUGUUUCUCUGGUGGGCCAGGGGUAUGUAGACAACAGGGGUUCAGAGAUGAUGAGGUGCAGCCUCUGUGGCUCAGGAGCAGCCUUCUAUGAUGACUAGGCUCAUCCCUGCAGCAUGUUUCUAUCCUCGCUGAUCUGAACAUGCGUCUCUUUGAAGAAAACUUGAGGUUACCCAUUCUCUUGGCUUGUGAUCAGGCUUCCAAUUCUUUUUCCUGAAUUUGCAGUGAUAUUUGGAGAGAUGACAUGAGAUCUCUAAUUCUGUACAUUGUCGCGACCCCUUGCCCGCAAGGAAGACGCAACUCGGGAAUCUUCUUUCAACAGUUUAUUCAGGCCCCUGAUAUUUCUUCUUCUCUCUCUCGGAUGCCCCUCCCAGCCUUAAUAAAGCAUCCCAAGCCCCAAUGCAAAGCUGCCGCGUGGAGCUUUCUCACAGGGUGGUGAAAAAUCAUGUGCCAACUUUCCCAGAUAAGGAGUUGUUUGUCACAGACCACAGCGGAGCCAGCGUCAUCUUGUAAUGGCGACCAUAGUCUGCAGAAGCGGCUCACCACAGUACAUUAUUCCAGGGAGGGCAGGAGAAAGAAGGCUUGUGGGGCAGUUUUCCCCUUGUGAUGCCCUGAGUUAUGCAACAGGGUGGCUGCUGCUUAUGGCCCAAAUGAAGGAGUUGGUUUUGUUCAGAUUUUUCUUGCAUGGCUGAGCUGGAGCCGUGUCUAGGGCCAGGUGGGGUUUUGCAAUGUGGGCCCCUAACCCCCUGUCUCUGGACAUGCUGCUUCUGAAGGAGGAGAGUAGGGAGUGAAGACAAUGAUUAGGGAGGGUGGCCUUGGAAUGUUGUAGCACCCAUCAAGAAUACUGCUUAGAAAAAGCUUUGGGAAGGAGAUCCACAUAGUGCAUGAAAGGUCACUAGCUAGUGUUUGCCCCUGGUCAUUGACAGCUCAUCCUUUGCUGUGUGUGUGGGUUGCCCUGUGCAUUGUAGGACAUUGAGCAACAUGUCUGUACUCUGAUCACUAGAUACCAAUCAUAGUUUCCCUUACCCUCAUGUAACUACCAAAAAAUGCCUCCAGAUAUUAUCAAAUGUGCUUUGGGGAGCAAAUUUUCCCCUUAUUUGAAGAUACCUUCAUAAAGCAUGGUCUCAGAUGAAAACAAUCAAGAAAUGAGGCUUGGAGCAGUUUCCAUUGAUUGGUUCUCAUUGCAAAGUAAGGUAUGAAAGCCCCUGUUAAACUCUUGGUGCUCAGGCUUUGUGCAUUAACAAUUCCUUGGGGAACUUUAGCUUUCUAGCUCAUCUUCUCUAUUUGUUAGAUUCAUGAAAUACAAACAGGUUAAACAACUUGAAAGGAGAUGGAUAUUCUGUUUUACUCUUCUCAAAUUAUUACACUCCUGACAAUAAUUUUAACAUUUGCCUUGUGUGCACUUUUGUUUAUCAUAAUUAUAAGCUUGAUUAAUUGAGAAGUAUACCACUGUAAGUAGACUGCUUUGAAAUAUCUGUUUAGGAGUGCAGGUAUAAACUUUCAUAUCACUGUCGAGCCUCUGAAGUGUAUAGGGGUUGAAGUUAUAACUAUGGUGUCUUUGGGUAAAUUGACAGGUUUUUUAGGGGGGUGGGGUACUGGCGAUUGAACCCAGGGGCACUUGAUCACUGAGCCACAUCCCCAGGUCUAUUUUGUAUUUUAUUUAGAGGCAGGGUCUCACUGAGUUGCUUAGUGCCUUGCUGUUGCUGAGAUUGGCUUUGAACCCACAAACCUCCUGUCUCAGCCUCCAGAGCCAUUGGGAUUACAGGCAUGUGCCACCACGCCUGACCAAAUUGUGAGUUUUGAUCUCACAAAUGGCCAGCCAGUUAUUCUAACAGCAUGCCAUGUUGGAUAGUUACAGGUCCCAGACUCAGCCCUACUUUUCUACUCUGGGUAAUUCUCCUUGCUUUCUUGAGUGGUAUAAGACAUUAUUGAAAGAAACUGCUACUGGUGUGAAAUGUACUAAUUGUAAUUAGAAAUUGUUAAUGGGGGGAAUUUUCUAUUUCUAUGAAAGUUUUACCAACCUUAGCACUCUCAAGAGACCAGAUCUUUCUUUUUUGUGGGUUCUGUCCUGUGCAUUAUAGGAUGUUUAGCAGCACUCCUAGUCUCUUCUCACUGGAUAAAGGUGGCACUUUACGAAAAUUAUGAAAGCCCAAAAUAGUAUCAGACAAUGCCAAGUGACUCCUUGGGGGCAAAAUCAUCCUCCAUCAAGAAGCUUUUAGCCUAGUUCCUGAAACAGGCAAAGUUCUCCAUCCUGAAUGGCCUUGAUAGGAAAUUCCUUGAUCCUUGGUCAGCUUCCUUGGGAUGCUCCUGUUUCUGGAGAUCCAAUUUAUAUUCAGGAGAAAUGCUCUGGACUUUGGACCCCCAAGCUUCAGUGAGGGCUCCUUCUUCCUGAGUGCUUUCUGAAACUUGUGUGUAGUUGCUCCUUGUUAUGGUUUGGAUUUGAGGUGUCCUUCAGAAGCUCACAUAUGAGACAGUGCAAGAAGGUUCAGAGGAGAAGUGAUUGGGUUGUAAGAGUCUUAACCCAAUCGGGGAUUUAAUCCCCUGAUAGAGAUUAGCUGAGUGGUAAGUGGAGGCAGGUAGGGUGUGGCUAAAGGAGAUGGGAGUUGGGGUGUGACUUUGGUUAUAUAUUUGUACCUGGUGAUGUUACCGCUGUUGACUGGUGAUGAGUCCUUGCUUCCCCAAUGUUGAAGAAUAACACCAAAGAAGCACGCCGAGGCAAGGUCAGAGUAGAAAUUAGAAGUUUAUUAAAGGACAGCAGAAAAGACUUCUCCCGGAGGAAGAAGGGGACCCAAGAGGUGGAAUCCGUGGAAGGGAUGUUGUCUCCCCUUUUUAUAGUUUUUUCAGUGAUGGAAUGUAGGUGGGAAGGACAGAGGGGUGGGACACAGGUGGGCCAAAGAAGUAAUCUGGUCAGGAAGGACUUCUGAGUCAGCACCUUUUUGCUGGGGGCUGUUCAUUAACAUUUCUUUGAGGUGGACUUUGGCCUAGGGCCUUUUCGGGACUUCCAUGAGUUGUCCUGUUUUCCCUGAGUCAUUCUCCGCAUGGUCUCCAUUUUAGAUUUCACUCUAUAUUAGACCCGAUUUAUCUAACUACACUGACUACCUAACUUUAAAUCUGGCUUCAGUGAUUGGACUCUCUCUGCUUCCAGAUCACCACAUAAGCCACUUCUCUCUGCCACACUCUUCCGCCAUGUCAUUCCUGUCUCAACUAGAGCCCUAAGGAAUGAGCCAGCUGUCUGUGGAUUGAGACCUCUGAAACCCUGAGCCUUCAAAUUAACUAUUCCUCCUCUACAGUUGCACUAGUCAGCUCAUUUAGUCACAGCAGUGAAAAAAGCUGACUAUAACACUCCUUUUGUGCAAGGCUACCUCAGGUGAUUUCUGAUUUUUGAGUGUGUGUGUGUGUGUGCGCGCGCGCCACAGUCUGGCUGGGCACAAAAUCACGAGCCACUCAAGCAGGAACAAACUUUAUUUUCAAAACUCCCGCCAAUGCCAUGCACGCAGCCUUCUCCCGGGGCACACUACACCAACAGGAAAUCCCUCCUCUGGAAUUCCCUCCUACCACACUUCCUCAACCAAUGGGAACUCUCCGGGAGUCGUGAGAGCUCCAAAGUAGCAGGCCUAGGCAGACAGCAGGGGUCUAAUCUCCAAUUGAAUGCACAUCUUAACAUAAUCAUUAUCAUCUCAAGGGCUUGCUGGUGUCACCUUUCCACCAAAAAUGCCCUGUGUCAUUCCUACUUGGCUAUGGCUCUCAGCGUGUGUGUGUGUGUGUGUGUGUGUGUGUGUGUGUGUGUGUGUGUACACCCUGUUAGCCUAACUUGACUAGCAUCUCUCAGUACAAGGAUCCUGCUCAGUUCACCUUUGUACUGUAAGAGUCUGCCUCUUCCAGAGAUGUUGUCUGAUGAUGGCAGUCAUCAGAAUUCUAACCACACCACGUUAGACUUGCCACAUGAAUAAGACAGACUGUGACUGGAGUUUAUUGUGUGCUAUUUGGAGUAGGAAAGGUAAGUAUGUCAGUUACUCUUAUUUGAGGUAUGAUUAGACGCUGUCCACUGAAAGCAUUAUCUGUGAGGUACUAUCCUCAGAAGAGGCCAAGAUCUAUCUGAUAGGGAGAUCAGGGAGCCUUCAGAGGGAACCUGGCUCUGAGCUGUGCACUGAAGAAUGGGCAGUAUUUUGAAGGUGGUGCUACAGCAGUUCAUUCCUCAGAAGUCAACUUUGGCCUGGGAGGACAGAAGAUCAGAAGUAUGAAAGAAGGGUAAUCAAGUGAAUGGAGUGAGAGCAAAAGUGUUUUUCCACAUCUUAUCUAUUUUGGUCCUUGAAUCAUAAUGUUGAGAUAAGUGCCAUUACAUCCAUUUGACAGAUGAGGAAACUGAAAGCUCAGUGGUCAAGGGACUUGGCUGAGCUCUCACAGUUGGCUGGCAGGGGGAACUGGGAUUUAAACUCAGUAUUGGCCAACCCAGUCUGUAGAGCUGCCAAAAAAGUUGGUAAGAGAGUAUGUACACUCUAAUUCUGCUAGCCUGAGGUGUGGGGCUUGUCCUAGGCCCUGAGUAUGUCCUGGUCCAAACCACUUUGCUACACAUCUUGUUUUCUAUUCCCUUGCUUUCUACCUCAGUGAUCAGUUCAACUUCUAUCACCAGUACAAAGAGAUUGAGGAGUUUGAAUUGUGUUGCUUGUCCAUGAGCUGGUCCACAUCUCCCUCAGAUUCAAGGAAGGACUGGUGCACUUGAAUCAAAAGAGUAUAUAUUUCAAAAAAUAAAAUUUAUGAUGACACCCAAUAGAGUCAACUUAUUUAGUUAAUUAUGAAUAGUGCUGUGUUGAUUGAGAGGAGAAUCCAAAUCUGGAAGGAGAUUGAAGGUGUGCUGCAUUGCACAACUGUCCCAAGGAACCAUCCUUAAUCCCUAGUACUACAUCCUUUUAUCUCUAGUACCACAGUUGGGAACUGCUGAGUCCAGCAUAUUUUAUCCAUCCACUUUAGAGACGAUGCUGAUAGAUUCUCCAGAAUGACUGGGGAGCCAAAGUUUUUAUCAACCAGUCUGUCACUUCUGUGGAAUAGAAUUGUCUCCCUUUACUGCUCCCUUUAUAGCAAAGUUGCUUUUCAGAGUACUUUCUACUUGCAGUAUUAUUCUUGAUUGUAUCAAAUUAGUUCCACAAUAGUACUGCCAAUUUUCUUCCAUAAAUAGUCCAUUGCCAUGUGACUUUAAAAUCCAUACACCUCUUUAUUUUGCUGCUAAUUCCUCCCCUAUUCAUUUUCCUACUAGGAUAAAGCACGGCUGGGGCAGGAUUGGUAGGGAAACUGUAUGGUGUGCAAGUAUCAUCUGUAGUCAGCAGAUCAACCCUUGCUAUCAUCCCUCUCAUUUAGAAAUUUUGAUGUUUACUCUUGUCCCUUUAUCCCCCUUUACUGGUCCCUUUGUAGCAAAGUUACAUUUCAGCGUACUUUCUACUUGUAGUAUUAAUUUUAGUCAUAUCAAAUUAAUUCCAUAAUAGUACUGCCAAUUUCCCCCUGAAAAUAUCAAUAAGACCACAGCUUUGAACUGCUUGUAAUAAAGGAAAGAAAGUCAGCAAGAGUGAAUGUUUUCUGAGCACUCCACCUGUAUACAGGUAGCUGUAUGAGAUUCUGCACUGUUGUCUGCUCUGUGGUAAAUCAAAGCUAACAUUCCUUCAGGGACUUGCAGUGGAGGCUGUCUGUCUUAGAUAUUUCUUUGAUUCCUGGAUUGCUCAAUUCAAUUUCUGUCUUCCCAGAAAAGCUUCACUCUAGCUUGGUCCAAGAAGCCCACCUCCUCUGAAACUAUUUCCUCCUGCUAUUUACCCAGUGUCCAAAGAACCUCAUGUUAGAUUUCCCACCUCAGCCAUGAAGUAAAGACAGCUUUGUAGUUUUGACCUUCAUAUUGUUUCUCUGGAGCAGAUGCAGAUGCACAGUCAACUGAAUAUAGUCUCUGUCUGUCUGUGUAUGUAUGUAUGUGUCUGUCGUGCGUGUUGCUAGGGAUUGAACUCAGGAUCUCAUGAAGGCUAGGGAAGCACAUUACCAUUGAACUAAAUCCCCUUUCCUACAAAGGAUGUUUCACUCAAACAGUUCAGGACACUUCCACUCUCCUGUCUCCAUCACUCUUGCUUUCAUGCUGUAUAGCAAUGCAAUGACAUUUGGGGACUCCAACUAAGGGAACAUUAAGUUGGAGUACAUUCAGUUUGGAUUUGGAAAGAUAUAUUUCAGGGACUCCCAACUAAUUCUGAACAUUUUCAAGUUAUAGCUAGUUGCCCCAGAUUGGAAUAGUUCCUAGGAAUACUUGCUUUGCCAACCAUAUCCAGUGUCAGGACAAGAGGUGCAGAGCUGGAGUACAUAUUGUGAUGUCACUGUGUCUGACAUAACUUUGUACCAAAGGUAUGUUGGCAGUGGAAGAAUCAAAGUUCACAAGAUAUAGGGCCAGAAGCUAGUCUGUGGAAAAAUCUAGGCAUCAAUCAGUUGUGUGAUGUUGGAAAUGGAGAAUUCAGUUUUCAUUGCCAAACAAAAUAUAUCCUCUCAGGAAUAUAGUGUGCUGUAUAUGCAACUAUAAAUACCCUGUACAUUUACUUUAAUAUUUGGCUGGGGGUUGUGUGAAAUGGCAUUUUUCAGAAUUCCUGCAGUUGUAGCUAGAAACAUUGAAUAGUAUACAGAAAAUAGUCAAUCUAACAGGCCUGAGGCUAUUGACCUUAGAAAAACCUGCUUAUAAUCUUGGCUCUCUGCUGUUUUCUGGGAACUUGGCUCUCAGAAUGUCCCCAGUCAACUAAGACUGAAUUUGCUUGCUUAGAUGUUUGCACAAACAACAUAGUUUAUGCUGAACCACCACUUUCCUUCUGAAAGUGGAAUUUUGUCACAUGUUAAGCUGAGGGUGCCUGUGUGACUAGCCCCCAAUAUAAAUUGUAAGCACUAAGUUUGGACUGCUCUGUGCAGAAAAAUCGCAUACAUUACUGCAUUUUUGUUGCCAAGAAAAAAGUAUUAUCUGGGUGGUCUCUCAGGGGAAGGAGGUAGCAUAAGGAGGUAUACAUGUUAUUCCUCCAGACUCGACCUGUGCCUUUUCCCCUUAUAAUCCUGCUGUGUGCCCUGACUACUUUGCUGUAAUAAAUAAAUAAAUGUAAUAAGUGCUGAGUCCUCUGAGUUUCCAACUAUAACAAACAAGAAGAGUAGAAAUAACAUUACAGUUAAUUAAUGAAGAUAUGCCAUUAUAUGUUAUUCUUUCUUGUUUUGAAAUGUUGCUAACAUUUGUUAACUUUUUCAAAUGUGUAUUCUCUUAUAUUUCUUUUCCUUUUUAUUUUUUAAAAAUUUUUAUGCCAUUAUACAUGAGCUCUUAUUGAUUUUUUUGCAUUACAAUUCUUAAUACACCUUUAUACCACAAUUUUUAGUUGUUGAUGGACCUUUAUUUUAUUUAUUUGUAUGUGGUGCUGAGAAUUGACCCCAGGGCCUCACACAUAGCAGGUAAGUACUAUAACAUAGCUACAACCCCAGUCCCUUAUAUUUCUUUUCUCAUUUUAAGUGAAUAUCUAUUUUGUUCCCAAUUUUAUUUUGGUAAUUUCAUAUUCUUAAAGAGAGUCCCAGAUAUUAUAAGCUUCAGCCCGCAUAAAACCUGUCUUUGCCUUGGUCUUGAAUCCAAGAUUUGCCACCUCCUUUUGGUUUUAUUAUUGUCACCUCAUAUUUCACAGGUGGGGAAAUUAAAAUCCUGAGAGGGGAAGUCAAGCUUACUUGGUGAAACUGGGACAGAUUCUAGGCAUCCCAAGUCCCAAUUUAGUGUUUUCCUUCUAUUCCAUAAAGUAUUUUGAUGGUUUGUCUGUUAAUUACUGUCACUGUGCAUUGUCCACUGGAUGGCACUCAGGAGACUGAAGUUUUAGUCCUUUUUCUUUCAAUAAAUGGUCAAUCUUGAACUAAUCCUUUUUCCAUCUGGGACACAUUUUCCCCUUUUUUAACACAAAGGGGUUGGAAUAUAUGCUCUGUAGAGACCUUACUCUCUUUGAUGUACCCUCAUUUUUUCAAUCUGGAAUUGCUGGAAUCACAGAAUCAUAGUUGAAACUGUCAUCUUCUUGUCCAUGGGUCUUCUUCAUCUAUAAAACUGAAGUAAAAUACCUCAUCUAUAAAAUGGAAAUAAAAUGUAGGUAUUUUAUUUAUAUGGCAUUAUUCAUGAUAGUGCAGGUGAUCAAAAGUUUCUUUCUGUCUAAUCAAAAACAAAAGUUUCAUAUAUAAUUCACACUCUCCUCCCUGGAGUCAGUAUGAGUAAACUUGAAUUUUGAAAAGAAAAGAAAAUUAAGUCCACAUAGACCACUUUUAAAACAUUUUAAAGGGAAAUAUGAUUUGCAAACAGAAAAAAUUCACAAGUAUUAAGUGAAUAGAUUAAUAAAUAUUCACAAAGUUAAUACAACCAAAUACCAGUACUUAAUAGAACACUGCUUUGACCUCCUUCUGAUCACUUCUAGUUUGCUACUUUUGCCCAAAAGUAGAGGAAAGGGACCAGGAAAUGAGAGCAAGGGAUAGGGAGGGAAGUGCUUGGGAGUGAUAUUGGCCAAAUUAUAUUGUGUGCAUGUAUGAAUAUGUAACAAAAAUAUCCUACCUUCAUGUAUAACUAUAAUCUGGAAAUUAAAAAUUGGAAAANGCUAGUUAAUCUUCCAAUAAGGGAUUAAUAUCCAGAAUAUAUAAAUAACUAAAAAAAUUAAUAUGAAAAAAGCAACCCAAUCAAUAAAUGGGCAACUGAACUAAAAAAAAAAGACAUUUCUCCAAAGAAGAAAUACAAAUGGCCAACAAAUAUAUGAAAAAAAAAAACAUGUUUAUAACACCCUUAGAAAUCAUGGAAACACAAAAUUAUUUAAUUCCAGUUAGAAUGGAAAUCAUCAAGGUUACAAAUAAUAAUUGGUGGUAACAAUGUGAGGCUAAAGGUACCUUUACACAUUCUGGUGGGACUUCAAAUUGGUACAACCACUUUGGAAAGAAGUAUGGAGAUUCCUCCAAAUGUUAGGUAGGAAGCCAGGCAUGGUGGCACAUGCCUGUAAUCUCAGGGACAUAGGAGGCUGCAGAAGGAAGAUCCCAAUUUGAGGCCCACCUUAGCAACUUAGGCCCUAAAAUCAUAGAAUUUACAGGGAAAUGGAUGGCAUUAGAGCAGAUUAUGCUAAGUGAAGCUAGCCAGUCCCUAAAAAACAAAUGCCAAAUGUCUUUUUUGAUAUAAGGAGAGUAACUAAGAACAGAGUAGGGUCGAAGAGCAUGAGAAGAAGAUUAACAUUAAACAGGGAUGAGAGGUGGGAGGGAAAGGGAGAGAGAAGGGAAAUUGCAUGGAAAUGGAAGGAGACCCUCAGAGUUAUACAAAAGUACAUACAAGAGGAAGUGAGGGGAAAGGGAAAAAUAAUACAAGGGGGACAAAUGAAUGUCAGUAGAGGGGGCAGAGAGAGGGGAGGGGAGGGGGGAUAGUAGAGGAUAGGAAAGGCAGCAGAACACAACAGACACUAGUAUGGCAAUAUGUAAAUCAAUGGAUGUGUAACUGAUGUGAUUCUGCAAUCUGUAUAUGGGGUAAAAAUGGGAGCUCAUAACCCACUUGAAUCAAAUUGUGAAAUAUGAUAUAUCAAGAACUAUGCAAUGUUUUGAACAACCAACAAUAAAAAAUUUAAAAAAAAAUCAAAAUUUAAAAAGAAGGAAAGGGCAGGGGAUGUGGCUCAUGGCUAAGCACCUCUAGGUUCAAUCCCCAGUGCCAAAAAAAAAUUAUCUAUCUCUAUCUAUCUAUCUAUCUAUCUAUCUAUCUAUCUAUCUAUCUAUCUGUAUGUGUAUAGAAGUGUAGUCUCUAUAUGAUGCAGCUAUCCUACUUCUUGGUAUUUUUCCAAAUUAUCUUAAAUCAGCAUACUAAAGUGAUACAUGCAUACCCAUGUUUAUAGCAGCACAAUUCGCAAUAGCCAAGUUAUGGAACCAACUUAGUUGUCUAUACACGGAAAAAUGAAUUAAAAAUGUGUAUACACAAUGGAUUUUUACCCAGCUAUACAAAAGAAUAAAUUUUGUCAUUUGUUGGUAAAUGUUUGGGACUGGAGAACAACAUGAUAAGUAAAAUAAGCCAGACUCAGAAUGUCAAUGUUUUCUCUCAUCCAUGGAAGCUAAAGACAGAAAUAAAGAAGAAAUACAAAAUAGAAGAGAGACCACAAGACUAGAGGAAGGUGAUUUAAAGGGAGGGAGGAUGGGAGGGCAUGGGCAAGUAAUGAGCUACAAAAUAUACCAAGUUAUGUCCAUGUAUGACCAUACUUCAAUGAAUCCUACAUAUGUGUGUGUGUGUGUAUGUAUAUGUAUAAAUAAUUAUGCACUAACUAAAAAAAUAAUGAGAUCAGUAGAGUAGACCUAGAAACAGGUACUACAUACUUCUUUCUGCUAGGUGUGUAGCACAUAGAACAAGUGGAUGGGGGAAGGGAAGAGGAGAGAGAAAAGGAAGAAACUAGGGAACAAUAUUGGUCAAAUUAUAUCAUAUGCAUGUGAAAAUAUGACAUAAUGACUACCACUAUUAAGUAUAAUUAUAAUGCACCAAUUAAAAUACUUUUUAAAAAGAGAAUAAGGAGAGACAGUAACAAAAUAUACUCUUUGAAGGUAUACUCCCAAUGACCCACUUCCUCCAACUAGACCUUGCCUACCAAAGUUUCCACAAUCUCCCAAUAGCUGUUGUUAUGAAUUGGUAGACUAUCCCAUUGAUGAAAUUAGAGCCCUCAUGAUCCAAUCACCUCCCAAGGGCUCUAUCUCUAACCAUUGCUGCAUUGGGAACCAACCAUUCAACACAUGUUCUCUGGGGGGACAUUUGAUAUCCAAUCAUAACAUUCUCACAAGAGUGUUGUUAUAAAACACCUGAGCCUGGUCCCACUAAACUCUCUAACUUCCUGUUUGUCAAGAAAUUUCUUGUUUCUAUACAUGUACCUCCAAUUACCUCCAUCAUACUGUAAUAUAGCCAGUAGGCCCCCCACCAGGACUGAGUAGAUGUCAGAACUAUACUCUUAAAUCUCCAAACUGUGAGCUAAAUAAACCUCUUUCCUUUAUAAAGUUAGUCUGUCUCAGGUAUUUCAUUGUAGUGAUGCAAAACCAACUAAUAUAGGCUGUGUUCAAGAUUUUUUUUGUAUGUAUUGUUUUCAUCAGUUUGAAUAUAAUGUGCCUAGGAAUGGUUUAUUGGAAGCUCUGAACUGCUUGUAGCUAUGGUAUAGUGUGUAUGAAUUAAUUUUGAGACAUUCUCAUGCCUUCAUAAAUUAAAAAGCAAUAAAAUAAAUUCUCUUCCAUUCCUUCUUCUUUCUGGAAUUUAAUUAAACUUAUAUUAGUCUGGGUUAUAUUAUAACUCUUUUCUGUUUUUUUUUAAUUUUCUCUUUUAUGGUUCAAUAUUAGUAAUUUAUGUUGACUGAUCUUCAUGUUUACUGAUCCUUUCUUUGGCUGUUUUUUGUUUGUUUUGUAUUGGGGAUUGAACCAUAUCCCAUCCCUUUUUAGAGUUUUAAUUUUUUUCUGAGAUAGGGUCUUGAUAAGUUACCCACACUGGUCUCAAAUUUUUUAUCUUUCUCCCUCAGAUUCCUAAGUUGCUAGGAAAGUGCCACCAUUCCUGUCUCUUCAUUAGUUUUGAGACUACUUGUGACCUUGUUAAAGGUAUUAGAUAUUUCUGCUAUGUAUUUUUCCCACUUGUAGCAUAUUCAUUUAGUUCUUUCUUAGGUUUUUCAUUUCACUGCUUCAUUUAUCUGAUGAUCUUGAAUGAUUUUAAACUUUUCUGGGAGCCUUUAACAUGUUAAUCAUAAUCAUUUAAAAGCCCUUGUCUUAUAGGUCUGUGUCAUAUCAGAUUCUGGUUCUGACAAUUACUUUGUUUCUUGGGAUUGUGAUUUUUCUUAACAUUUUGUAUGUCUUGAUUUUUUUAAGGCAAGCAUCUUAUGUAGGAUGUUAGAGAUGGAGGUAAAUAAUUCUUAGACCUAGAAACAGGUACUACAUACUUCUUUCUGCUAGGUGUUUAGCACAAAGUUUUGAGUCAGCCUAGUUGUGUCUACCCUCCAUGUACCACAGGCUUAAAUUUCCUGUAACAAUUCCUUAUGUUUAGGGUGAGAGUUGUUUUUUCAGAGCACUGUCUUUUAAAAAAAUAUUUAUUUUGUAGUAAUAGGUGGAAACAACAUCUUCAUUUUAUUGUUAUGUGGUGCUGAGGAUCCAACCCAGUGCCCCAUGCAUGGUAGGUGAGCGCUCUACCUCUGAGCCACAACCCCAGCCCCAGAGCAAUGUCUUUUUGACCAUGGUCUUUAGGUCUUCUCUUUAUACUCUGCUUCUUAAGUAUUCUCUAAUGCUCUUCUUCCUUUGUUCCUUUCCAAGCAUAUUCUUGCUACUUGAAGUUGUUUAUUUAAUCUUGUGGGAAUUGGGAGCAUGACAUUUUCUGCUUAAUCUCUAGUCUUAGUUAUUAUGCCCUGGAUGUUAGAGGUAUGGAGUGAUUAUCUUUUGCCUCUCUCCUUAUGUAGUUCUGGGCCCAGUGUAUAUUUCUGCACUCCUUCUAAGAGUAAUAUUUUUCUUGUUUCCUUCCCCCGGGUACAGUUAGUUUCCACUGGCAUCCUAAGAGUGACAAAGUUUGCUUCCUUUCUCUCACAGAAUGAGGCAUUUUUUCCUAGAGGAGAGAGAAAAAUUCAUGGGAGAUUCUUAUCUCUUUUGCAUGGCUGGUGUUCCUUUCUCUAAGGUCUGAACUUCAGUGGAUUCUUUCUUAAGGCUCUUUCUGGUCUUGUUCUUCAAGAAUCUAAUGGGGUUCAUGGAGAAAGAUCCUGCAAGAGAUCACAGUUCCUCCAAUUUCUGAGGCCCUUGGAGGCUUCACACUGUUCUAUCAGCCCACAUUUUACCUUUGCUAGUUCAUGAAUAUCUCUAACUGACCUCUUCUUACUGAUUUUUGGUAAGCUUACCCAAGAUAAGUGAGAGAUGCUCACAUCUCUCUUCCUGCAAUGAGCAUAUCUCCUCAUAUACAGGGCAAAAUUGUUGUCUGCAAACUCAGAUCUCCAAUGUGUCAGAAAUAAUCCAUGGAUUUGAAGUUAGUUGGACCCCUUUAUUGUUUUCACUAUGGUUAUGAUUCGUCUUGCUUUCCCACAGUGGAAGCUAGCUCCUAAUUGAUGAAGUUUUGAAUCUUCUUGAAUCCACACCUCUCUUGCCCUCUAGACAACUGUAGUUAUUCUCAUACUGGAGUGUGUAGAAGUCUUUCUUCUGUUAAUGCUAAUGUUGACUGUUAACUGUUAGAAUGUUCUGCUGUUCUUUGCAAGCAAGUGCAUGUUGACUAUUUGGGGGUACUCCUAUUUUCAAGAAUUCAGAUGCAAUCACUUAUUCCUUUGGCUUCCACUUAGUAGAAUUAGGUACCAUAUUAUCCCAUACCUCUUAGUGAAUUGUCUCUAUCUGUUCAUAUUUUGGCUUUAUUGAGAUAUCUACUCACACCCUUUUGUUGUAAACGCUGUUUAUGCUUUUAAAAAUAUUCUAGCUCUCUAUUCAUUUUAAAAAUAGGUGAUUCAGAGAGAUUCAAAAACCUUGAUGGCAUUGCUGCCACUUCCCAUUCCCAAAUCUUCCCUUCAUUUUUUUUUUUCUGUUUUGGUUAUUGGGGAUUGAACCCAGGGGCACUUGACCACUGAGCCACAUCCCCAGCCCUAUUUUGUAUUUUAUUUAGAGACAGGGUCUCACUGAGUUGCUUAGUGCCUCGCUUUUGCUGAGGCCGGCUUUGAACUUGCAAUCCUCCUGCCUCCACAUCCCAAGCUGCUGGGAUUACAGGUGUGUGCCAUCAUGCCUGGCUUCCAUUCAUUUUUUGAAAGAUAUUUUUGCUAGGCAUAAAAAUUCAGUUUGACAGUUACUUUCUUGAUUUGGUUGAUGUAGUUUGAGAAUUCUGUAACUAUAUUGAGGGGGAAAUUUGCUGAAUAUUGAGCUCAGUUCUCUUCCCCCUCACUCUUUACCAGAAUCCUGAUUCCUGAAAUCUCUAAUGUCUCCAUCUCUAAGAGACUACCCAAGGCUCUGUUGGCUUCUCUGCUGUUAGUAGAGGCCCUCAAUCCAGUCCCUCUCUCAUAUCCCUACCCACUCGCCUGAUGGCUAGAAUAAGCAAACAUCCCAAAGGCAAAAGUUGCUGCAGAAUAUCCUCUUUUUCCUGGUUGCCUCAUUAUUGCUCUAAUGCCUUCAAUCAGAUGUUUUAAAAUUUUUACCUGGCUUUCCUGGUUAUUUUUAGUGGAAGGAUUAGUCUUAUAUAAAAGUACUCCAUCAUAUUCAUAAUUAAAAACUACCUAUAUAGUAGGUAUUUGAUAAUUAAAUCUAUUUUUAAGGAGCUUUAGAAACUGCUGAACUAAGGAAACUUUUUAUGUAAAAAAAAUUAGUUGUAGAUAGCCAAAAUACCUUUAUUUUAUCUAUCCAUUUUUAUGUGGUGCUGAGGAUCAAACCCAGUGUCUCACAAGUGCUAGGCAAGCGCUCCACCACUGAGCCACAACCCCAGCCCCAGUAAGGAGACAUUUCAAGAACUUCUUUUUCAGAAAAAUUCAUCACUGUUCUUUCAGAAAAAAAUAUUCUCAAAGGUCAACAAAUAUGACUUAGACUGAGGGAGGUUUAUAUCACUGCAUAAUUUCCCUGAACUCUGUUUUAGUAUGGAAGGUUAAAAAAUUAUAUAAGUUAAUAUUAGAUUCAUUAGGCUUAAAAACUAGUUCCUCCUAGAUACAGCAAAGACGGAAAUGAGUCAUCAUUUAUGUAGUUUUAGAGUUGGAGUUAAUGAGGCACCACCAACCUAUGGUCAUUUUGAAGUCUACAAUAGGGUUGCUGUUUACAUUACUUCCUCUUCGUAGGUUAAUUGUUCUAGAAAACACAAAUAAUCAUCUGUUUGUUUUUCAGAGACUCAUACAUGUGCACUGGCAAUAAAUCACAGGAGAAAUGUCCCUCUUUGUAUACGAUAAAUUCGAUAAUGAGAAAUUUACCAGGGAAGAGGAAGUCCCUCAAGAGCAGAAUUGGCUCUACUGAUUAUCGUGCCUUCUACUACAGUGCCAAAGACACCCUUAAUUGUAUAUUCAAAAUUGUGUAGAAAAUUUUCAAGAGAAGAUUACAUUGUGAUUUCUGCAAGGUCUGUAUCCUGGAGGCUGUCCAGAUAGGGUGAUAGGGUUGUAGACAAAACUGAGAACUAUCUUCUGUUCACAAGCCCUGUAUUGUCAUGAAAGGGAGUGCUUGGCUCGAAGCUCUACUACUAACCAGCUGCAUGAUGUGACUGCUCACUCACCUCUUUGCACAUAAAUUGUCUCAACUCUAAAAUCACCCCAAUGACAAUGGCUUUUUAAGGCAGUUGGGAGGAUCAAUUGUAAUGGGGUGGGGGAAAGUCAAUGAAAAAUUUCAAAGUGCAGAAUACUGAUUAGGGAUCAAUAUGAUCACUGUUUCAUUCCAUCUCAUGCACCUGGGUCCCAGGGUUGCAAGAGGCCUAAUCUCACAUAUCAUACAAUGCAGUUACCUUCUUUUCAAUAUCUCAUACAGGUUUUUAACUACUACGUGAAGAGUUCUUUCAGAAAAGAAGUUUAUUUGGCUCACAGUUCUGGAGGCUGGGAAAUCUAAGGGCAUGGUGCUGGCAUAUAAAAUGACAAAUGGUGAAAAGGUGAGAACAAGCCAUAGAGAGAGCUGAGGAA